rnacentral:rRNA from 1 species
UGAAACCAGGAUUAGAUACCCUGUUAUACUGGGGCUAAAAUAAAGUGAUCUUGAAUAAUAGCAAUUAAUUAGUUUGAAAUUUAAAGGGUUUGGCGGUAUUUUAGUCCAGUUAGAGGAACCUGUUUUGUAAACGAUAAACCUCGCAAUAUCUUUCUUGUUCUAGUGAAGCUAGUAUACCGUCAUUAUUAGAUAAUUUUAUUUAGUUAAAGAAUUAUUGCAAUUAAGUAGUGUUAAAUAUAUUAGAUCAUGGUGCUGUCGAUGAACAAGUUUUAAUGGGUUACAAUAAAAUUAAUUUAUAAUGGAUUAAUAAAUGAAACUUUGUGAUGAAAGAGGAUUUAAUAGUAAUAUAAGUUUAAUAAGCUCAUAUGAGAUUGGCUCUAAAAUAUGUACAUAUCGCCCGUCGCAA